rnacentral:lncRNA from 1 species
AGCAGCACACGAAAGUUCCAUCAGUCGAACACAUAACGAGGCAAACGCGAUAUUGUGCGAUCGAAAAUUCAGACAAAAUGUACACAAAUCCCUUCAGUCGUACCCACAGCUCCAUUCGUCAAGUGAUCGACAAGUUCCUACACAUCAACCAGGACCAGAAGAGCCAGGGAAUCCAGAGGAACACUUCUUCUAAUUCCGUCAGUUCUUCGUCCAGCAGCUGCAGCGGCAAGCAUAAGAACUUGAAAACCAGUGCUCGAUUAGUUUUUUCGAUUAAAUGAGCAGCAGGCCACUUUCUUGGAGUACCAGUGAAAAAGCUUCGAUAUUCUGAAGCUUUUCCAAGCGGCGUUCAAAGAUGAGUUUGAAGAAAACGAUCUACUUCCCAGGCGUUUUCCAGUCGGACAACUAGCAUUUAUUACAAGAGAGUUAGUUUAUAUUAGGAACGCAGCAGCCAUAAUAAAGUUGAUUAAAAUUUGCUAA